UAUGGACUGUGCUAAAACGAACCUCAUCCAUCACCACUAUCACAAUCUUGUCCCAUCUAACGGCUAACCUUCGCCACAAAGUGGAUCCAGAAACGUAUGUUCGCCAGUGCCUUGAUUGGUAGUUGACAUUUAGACCACCGGCUAAACUAAUUUUGCUAAUUGAUCAGAAAAUCCGUCGGUAAGCUUGUAGUAGAGGAUGAUUCCAGCCUGCCACCAAUCAAUCGAAAACUAAACCAAUUCCCAAAACAAUUAAGAGAACUUUGUGUUCCUUCAUCCUCAGUCAUUUUGACAGUUAAAAAUAUUAUAGCUUUGAUCGCAACAUCAUGGAAGUUAGUUUUG
rnacentral:lncRNA from 1 species